AUACAAGACUCAAAGAGAGACACGACCAAGAUAGGAUCNAUCGGAUUGCCGCCCCACCCCUUCAAAAAUUCCAUGACCUCUUUAUCUGAACUUACCCCUUUCACACCUAAUAUGUCGCCCACCCCAUGAGAGAACCUUGAGAUUUUUCAUUCACUCACAUAUAAGCGCACACACACGCACAGUAAGGGAAAUCAGAGGAAAGGGAUUCGUGGGUUUUGUAUGUUUUGAUUUCCAGCUUUUCCAUUUUCGGAUUUUUUGAGUUCUUCACUGAAAAUUAGGCGAGCUUCUUCACUUUCUUUUUCUUUAUUUCAAUGAUAAAAAAAUAGAAAAAUACAAACAAAAAAAGAAAUACAUUGCUGCCCUUUCUUCUAUUUUUCAUUUAGUUUUCAAAGACGGAGUUUGAUUGAGAUCGAGGUCUUUUCGAUCCCGGGUUCUGUUUGUAGCUCAAGGAUUUGGGAGGCAACAUUUCAGAUUUCAUUUGGCAAAAUAUAUUUGAGUUCCAAGUCGAGGUCGCCGGUUAAUUUCUGCCAUCAAUUUAAUCAAAACAGAAGUGAAAUCUUGGCUUUACUUUGAGGUACGGAUCAAUUUGCUAGAGUUUGAGCAUGACAAAUACCCCAGGACCAUUCUAGUCAAGACCAUUGCAUGCACGAGCUACUUGAGGAAACUUUUUAUUUUUAGUCUAUUUUAUGUUGUCUUGUACAGUAGUAUCGAGUCUGUUAGUCUAGUUAAGAUUUUCGAGUCUUUUAUUAUAGUACUUCCUAUUUUGUAUUUGAAAAACAAAAAAAAAGUUAUAAAUGGAAAAUUCAAAAAGAUUUAUUUUA